rnacentral:rRNA from 1 species
GUUGGCAGCCAUAUCACCCUGUAGCCCAAGACUGGUUGCCCACUGAAGCUAAGCAGGGCUGAGCCUGGUCAGUACCUGGAUGGGAGACCUCCUGGGAAAACUAGGUUGCUGCUGGAA